rnacentral:rRNA from 1 species
CAGUAGCCACGGUAAUACGAAGGGGGCUAGCGUUGUUCGGAUUUACUGGGCGUAAAGGGCGCGUAGGCGGACUGAUAAGUCAGGGGUGAAAUCCCAAGGCUCAACCUUGGAACUGCCUUUGAUACUGUUUGUCUUGAGUUCGAGAGAGGUAAGUGGAACUGCGAGUGUAGAGGUGAAAUUCGUAGAUAUUCGCAAGAACACAGUGGCGAAGGCGGCUUACCGGCUCGAAACUGACGCUGAGGCGCGAAAGCGUGGGGAGCAAACAGGAUUAGAUACCCGCGUAGUCCCUGUCUCUUAUACA